GUUCUCACUUCAGCAGCACAUAGACUAAAAUUGGAAUGAUACAGAGAAGAUUAGCAUGGCCACUACACAAGGAUGACAUGCAACUUUGUGAAACGUUCCAUAUUUUU